GCAGCAAAGGGAAGAAGAAUAAGUAAAGUUAUCAGUGUCACCGUCAUUCUAAAAUACUUGCAGCGUCUGCUAAAUGGCACGUAAUGUAAUGUAAUGGUUGCUUUAAAAUGUCCCGCGACGUGGUGCUCUCGCGGGAGCUCUCGCGAGAGCUCGCGGAUCGGAUUCUUCCAGAACAUGUAUUUCUUAGAUAAGUUAGAUAAGUAUUUUAAAAAUAUGUUUAAGUUAUUACGGUUUUAUAAGGAGGUAUUCAUUUGGUCUAAUUUUAAAGGUGAUGAAUAAUAAUAAAUCAAAACAACUUUAUAUACAAAUUUUAAUAAGUUAUGAAAAAUGUUAAAACGUAAUACCGGCGCCUCUAUAAGGCCUAAAUACAUAUAAUAAAACGAGCCAAUCAGCGUGAAGUCUGAGAUACGGCUCCAGCCCGCCGUGAAGACCCGGGUCCGGCUUCACCCGCAGCCUUCACCCGCAGCCUUCACCCGCCAGGCGGCAGCGUCUCCUCCUCCGGCCAGGAGCAAAGCUGCUUUAAAAACUACAUUGAUAAAUCAGAGCUGGCGGACAAAAUAAUAAUAACCCUAAAUAAUGCAAUACAGUUUAACAGCAGUGCAAAAGAGAUAACGUGUAGUUUAAAUGCAUGACUUCUGCAAUCUUUAUUCUAGUUCUGCAUAUCGAGCAUUUUGCACGGGAACGUUAUUUUUAUUAUUAGAUGAUCAAAACAAAUGAUCGAUGAACAGUAAAUGAUGCUCAUCGAUAAAGUAGAAUUAUUAGGAUUUUUUUCUACACCAUUUUACGUGCGAAACGGCAACGAAGCGAAAAACUCGUCAGCUUCAAUACUUUUUAAGAUAUCUAUAUUUAUAUAACGCACAUUUAAUUAAAAUAAAACAAUAUGAACUAAGGCACAUAAGCUAUACUUACAACGUCCAGUCACACUGCUGAACUUUGCUUUUAUUAUAAUAAAGAUGAAAGUUUUUA